UACAGAGGGUGCAAGCGUUAAUCGGAUUGACUGGGCGUAAAGGGCUUGUAGGCGGUUACGUAAGUUAGAUGUGAAAUCUCUGGGCUUAACCUAGAAACUGCAUCUAAAACUGCGUAACUAGAGAGCAGUAGAGGGGAGUGGAAUUUCCGGUGUAGCGGUGAAAUGCGUAGAUAUCGGAAGGAACACCAGUGGCGAAGGCGACUCCCUGGGCUGUUUCUGACGCUGAGGAGCGAAAGCGUGGGUAGCAAACAGG
rnacentral:rRNA from 1 species